ensembl:lncRNA
GGGUCAGGAAUAUCCCCUGGAGAAGGAAAUAGCAAUCCACUCCAGUAUUCUUGCCUGGAGAAUCCCAUGGACAGAGGGGCCUGCUGGGCUACAGUCCCUGGUGUUGCAAAGAGUCAGCUAACACUUUCAUCUGCCCUCCAGGGAGUACCCGCCACAUUGUGAUCUGGACUCCCCUGAUGAUGGUAGCCUAGACUGCCUCCAACUUCUCAUCACCGUGAAACGAUGGGGCCAUGAGCCUCCUUGCACAUGCCACUAGGGACCUGUGAAAGAAUUUCUUUGGGAUAUGUGCCCAGGAAUGAAAUUACUGGGUCACAUGGGAAAUACAUUCUUCAUUUAAC